AUAGCAGGAAUAAUCAUUAAUACCAAAUUAAAGAUUUCUCUUAUAAAAAUCAAUUCAAUAUAUUAUUAUGCUCAGUCUUCCCUACUUCUUUUUUCACCUUAAUUUGUGUCAAUUACCUUAAAAUAAUUGAUGUUCUCCCUCCCUUCUCUCACUUUCUAUUAUUUAUGUUUCAAGAAUUUUAUCAGUUGAUCUAAUUAUAUUUAUGCACUAUAGAAGCAUAGAAAAACAAACAACUUGGAACAAAGUUUCUUAUUUUGUUGUUAGCAUGGCUUGCUGAAAUUAAGGCGUAUACGUGGAUAUGGAUACUUUAGAGACGUUUUUGCUCAAGUUUACUAUUAACGCAAGUAGGGGCAUGAUCCUUGCUUCUGUUGCUAGAUAUAUCUGUAAUUUUUGGUUAGCUGGUAUUCUGUAAUCUUAGUUUACUUCCAUAGUCGCAAAUCUGAAGGACUGGACACUAAGAUCACAUUUAUUUCUUGUCAAAUAUUUACGCCCCGCUUCAUAUCAAGUUUACUCAUUGGCAUUGGCGAUUACUUUUGUGCUGUUGGAGCUGUUAAAACUCAUAGCUAUAGAAAUAUCUUGAAGAUUCUUCAUUCUAAUAUCUGAUCCACGUGCGUAAUUACUUUUUCCUUUUUUUCUGGAUGGGAAAACCUUAAAGGUACUAUUCUUGAAGUGACCAUGAAACCAUUGUCAAAAUUCUUGCUGAGUUAUGUCUAUACAAGUUGUAAAUUCAAUCUCUCCCUGUUAAAUAAAGAAGCCAUAUGUAGGUCUAUUUUGACUGGUUUAGAGUAUAAUUGGCAGAUCGAAAACAGUCUUUCUACUUCUUCGUAGGCAGUGGUAUGAACUGCGUAUAUCUUACCUCCCCAUACCCUACUAUGUCGGAAUUUACUGGGUUGUUUGUUGUUGUUGUAGAGUACUAAUUGGCAGAAUUCCUGAUAUUGGCAAAUAUGCUGGUGAAAAUUAAGAGUCACCCAUGAAUUGGGAGAUAAUACAGUACUGUAGCUACACCAAAAUGCCGAGAUAUAUAAAAAUCACAGCUGGGUUUCCUCUUAAUUCUAGAAACAAUGGAGUACCUUUGGAGAUGUGUAUGGUCAAGGUUACUGUUACUGCAAGUCUAGGCAUGAUCCUUGCCCCUGUUGCUAGAUAUAUCUGUAGUUAUUGGUUAGCUGUUAUUCUGCUAAUCUUAGUUUACUUCCAUAGUCACAAAUCUGAAGGACUGGAUACUAAUCAUAUUCAUUACUUGUCAUAUAUUUAUGGCCCACUUCAUAUCUGGUUUACUCAUUGGCAUUGACUAUUACUUCGGUAUUGUUGGAGCUGUUAAAACUCAUGUCUCUAGUUCAUCUUUCCUUAUUUCAACCAGGCUCGUUUUCUCGGUGGGCUUAGGGGAGCAAAUUGGAGACAAAUAGAGUGCAUUCUUGCUAUCUUUUAGUUUCAAUAUUCCCACUCGUUGUUACCUCAUGUAAUGUUUAGGUUAUCAAUUGUAAAGAUAAGAUUGCACAGGGAUAUUUGAUGGGUCACAUACGUCUUCCCUGAUGAGUACCAUUUACAAACUCUUGAAACAUUACUAGGUGCUUACCCAUAAUUUCAGGUUCGUCAGAUUGUUCAAUCAUAAAAUUGGAUUUUGUUUAACUGCAAUAUCAAACAGUAGAAGCAAAAAUGUCAUGUCCAAAGGGAUACCAGGGGUGUGAGGUUGGAUUUUCAUCUGCAAGAAUGUUAAAAUAGAAAAUGAAACCUAACCUUUAAUAGUAGUGAAUCCUUUGUCUUACAUUGUAUGUUCGUUUGAAGAUAUAUUUAUUCCUAAAAAUCUUUUAACUCAUUUCUCAGAAUUCUUAUAAAGAGUAUUAUUUGCCGUUAGAAAAAAUUUGGGAGAAGAAUUUCAAAUUAAAGCAUUUGGAACUCUUAUCUUUUAUUUUAAGUUGAUGUUCUAUCAGAAACAACCUCUCUAUAUUUAUGAGGUAGGGGUACGAUCUGUGUAUGCUUUAACGUCCUUAGAUCCCACUUAUGGGAUUGCACUGGGUAUUAUGUUGUCGUUGGUGCUCUGGUCUUCUUCUCCUUGAAAUAUAUUCAUUUUAAUCAAGACAUCAUUUGCUUACUGUGGUUGAUUGGUCCAAAUACAUUAUUAUGGCCCAGAGAACUUAUAGGUGUUAUGGAUCUUAUUACUCAGUUCAAGUUAUUACCUCAUCACGAGUUCUUCUGCAAGAAGCCGCUUCCAUUGUUAAUUUCAGAUACACACUGCCUUCACAAUGUGGUGGAUUAUUCAUCAUCUAAACUUUUUUCUUGUUGAACAAUUUACUAGAAUAAAUCUUCAACAAUAGAUGAUAGAUGGGAUGUGGAUCGCAAUGAUCGUCCAGAAAAGAAAAGUGAAUAUAUGCUCGCUGAUCGUUGUAGAGAUUGCUUAAGGAGAAAUAUACGUCCUUUUUUGGAGCUGGGAUUGUAUUUACAAAAGUCAUUUACUGCUCACCAGCUUGUUGGACUUAUGGGGUACCUAUCAGGAAACAUACUGAAAACAAUGCUUCUGCAGAUUGAAUGCAAACAUUUAUUGGUCGUGAGCCUUGACUUCGCAGCUAUAAGUUCCAAGUUAAACGGGAUGAACUUGCGUUGCUUUGUAUUCUUUCCAUGUAUGGGUUGUACUUCAAGGCUUUGAGCUUCUCAUUGUAACACGUGAAUUAAUGUUUCUUUAAAGAAUGAAAAUAGGACUUUUUGGUGUCACAAAUUUACACAUGUCAAAACUGUUAUGCUUUCUGAUUGUUAAUCUCUCCUAUCUUUACAUGGCCGAUGGUGACAUGAUACUGAGCUUAUUAGAGAAUGCAAUAGCCUUCAUUGACCCGUUAAUAUUCAACUUCGGUCUAUUUAAAAUAUUUUUCACAUGUACAAGAUUAACACAUUGACUUUAUACCUUCCAAAAUAUUUAUUCAAUAAUUUCACUUCAACCUUCACACAAUUAGAUCGAGUCUUGUUUUCCAUAGCUAUAUCAAUAUACAAUUAAUUUUCUAUAAUCAUAAACAAAAAUAGCCAAAGAUCAAUUUACAUUUAGCUACAAAAUUAUUUUCGUAGAAAAAAAUAACUAAAUGAUUCCGCUACAAAUUCCAAAUCAUCACUACUUCAUAUUUUGUGACAAAAUUAUGUUGUCACUAAAUCAUAGAGUAACUAGAGA